rnacentral:lncRNA from 1 species
AGCUGGUGACCUGUUUCAUUUUGAGUAGAAAUGUAACCUAGGACAAUUUAAGACAUUUAGUUCUCUUACUUUUGAUAAUACUGGCUCGUAUCUAGUUACCUGCUAUGACUCUGUUAAGAUCAGGACUUUUUUUUUUUUUUUUUUAAACAGCUUUUCUGGCUAGGUUUCAGUUUCGUUUCAUUUUCUAUCACUUUGGUUUCAGUUCUGUUUCUCAGGAUACUCUCUUUCCCUUUCCAGGGGUAGUAUCUGAUCCUUUUAGAAUCGUUCCUUUGUGAUUCCUUCUGAUUAAGAUACACGAAUUACUCUAAGGCAGAUAUUCCCAAACGGGAUGUUUAAAAAGCAGUUUUAAAACUUAGUACCAGGCAAAUUCGGUCCAGCAUUAAGCAAAAGGCACUUGCUUUAUUAGUAUCAUAAAUUUGCCUAAUAGCUGUCUCAGUGUGUAUGUCCCAUGGCUGACUUAUUUUGUGUGUGGUUCUUGACGUGUCAAAAGAUCACCAAGAAUCCCUGUCACCCUGAUCAGUCAAAGAGUGAACCUUCAAUACAUAUUUGCUGAAGGAAGGAAGGAAAGAGAAAAAGGCCAUUUCCGGAUGGGCUGGUCAUGGAAGAGUUCCUGAAAGAGGAGAUGUGAGCUCAGUCCCUGAGGACGGUUGAGUUUUAGAGGAAUGAGAAGAUAAGCAACAUUCCAGACAAGGAAUAAAGCACCAACUUAGCAUGCCUCUUCAUGGCAGGUUAGAUAAACAUGUUCUCUGAUUGCUAAAAAUUAACCUUCCACAAUAAAUAAAUGCCAUGUAACCAGACAUGUGAACAUACACAUAGCAGAAAAUUAACAGCAUACCUCUCCAAGAGGUAAUUUUGGGGCAAGAGGAAAAAAAAUAUAUUAUGCUAAUAAUAUAUUAUGCUAUAUAUUAUGCUAUAAAUGCUAAGAGACAGCAUUGAAAAAUAAACUAUUCGUUCUCCAAAAAGGAAACAUGACUAAAACAAAGACCACACCCUAAAAAGUUUUCCUCAAUUAUAUUGCUACAGACUAGUACAAUCAGGAGUGGAAAAUAUACCAUUUCCUGACAUGUCAAAGAGAUAUGAAUGAUUAGUGAUCACGUAGUCACAAAUUAGUGGUGGAUGCUGGUUCUCUCCUGAUGUAAAAGUUAUGUAAGUUCAGGUCUGUGUGAUCUCAUGGGGGCAAAGGUGUUAUAAGUACACACAGAUCACUCACUCUGCACAUAAUACCUUCGCCCCAAAUAACCCUCUGUACCUUUUAUACAGUGAAAGAAUUACAGCUAUCAUUCUAGGCACUAGUCCCUAAAACACAGACUUGCUUGUCCUUUCAAGAAUUUUAAACUUAAGAAAAGGCAUGUGUUAUUCAC